rnacentral:misc_RNA from 1 species
UCUGUAACAUAUUAAUUAGGCAGAUGUCGCUCCAUGCUCUGAGUUAUCUUUCCUUCAGAGAGUUUGGAAAGUUGUGAGGAGAAGUAUUGGAAUGUCGUGAGUUUUGAGAAAGGCAUAAGGAAGAAACAUCAAAUCGGAAUGAGUUCAGGCUUUAUCUCAGAAGCAGAACUCGCGGAGCGACGAAGGAUUCGACAAGAACAGUGGGAUAAAGUUCGGAAGCCAGGACAACCAGAAGAGUGUCCUGAGGAGGAAUAUGAUCCUCGAUCACUGUUUGAACGUCUUCAGGAACAGAAGCAGAAACGAGAACUGGAAUAUGAGGAAGCACAUAGAUUGAAGAAUAUGAUAAAAGGCCUUGAUGAUGAUGAGAUAGAAUUCUUGGACCUUGUCGAUCGAACAAAGCUUGAGGCAGAAAGACUGAAGUCACAGGAGGAAGCAAGAGAGAUACGUGACUUCCGUGAUGCAGUUGCCCGUCAGCAGGAACGCAGCAUUGAGGACAGAAUCAACUCCGAGAUCCGUUCGCGACCACCUUCCACUGCAUCUAGUCAGAGUUCUGCCAGCAGUCGGAGUUCUCAGGCACGUUUGCUAACUGGAGCAGUCAGGAAGCGCCGAGCACCAUCCCCUUCAUCAUCCUCCACUACAGCUGUUGUGGAUGGAAGCAACUCUCAGCCAAAAAAGAGACCUUUAGAAAACAGCAAUGAACAGAGUAAAACAGAAGAUGACAGUGGCAGCUCUUCAGAUCAUGCUGAACUCAACAGCCGUGAGACUGAACAAAAUACCUCUCCUGCUUCACAGAAUUCUGUCAAGAACAUCAGUAGUCUCCACUGUAUUGGUAUCUUACCAGGUUUAGGUGUUUACCCUGACUCAAGUGACAGCGAGCAGAGUUCAGACACAGAUGCGGAGCUGACUCUAUCAUCAGGCUAUGACCUACUAGGUCGGAAGCUGGCUACAGGUGCCGGAGGUGCAGCUGCACGCAAGGCUGCACAGCAACAGGCCAAAGCUGCUGAUGCAUCGGGAAGUGAGGAUGUCGAUCCAGGUAGUUAUAGCAGCUGCAUUGAAGAUGAUGAAUAUUUCAGUGAAUGAAGACAUCAUGAUCCAAUCUGGAGCAUUCCACAGCUUCCAUCAACAGUAGUAAUGGAACAUAUGAAAUUUUAGGUCACAGACACUUUUGAAGCCACUGCUGCAGUCUGCAUUAAAGAUGUACAAGUGGCAUUCAAGAAACAGAUUUUAAGCAAGGUCUUAUUUACAUCAAAUCAAGUUUUGUGCAUUUGACUGCAGCAACAAUGAAGCUCGAAGCCACAGGUAUAUCACUGAUGAAAUCUUUAAUAAUUAUUGAAGAGGUUGAAAAAUCUUUGCAUGCAUCCUAUGGAG